rnacentral:misc_RNA from 1 species
GAUGAAGAACGUAGUGAAAUGCGAUAAGUAAUGUGAAUUGCAGAAUUCAGUGAAUCAUCGAAUCUUUGAACGCACCUUGCGCUCUUUGGCCAUUCCAAGGAGCAUGCCUGUUUGAGUGUCAUUGAAUCCUCAAGGGCCCCCUUUCUUCCGAGGGGGGGGGACUUUGGACUUGGGAGCGCUGCGGCCGCCGGGCUUUCCUCCGGCUCCGCUCUCCUCAAACGCAUCAGUAGGGCCCCUCAUCCCUUCGGGUCUUUUGCGGCGUUGAUAGUCGUCUACGCCUCUGCCCCGUCGGGUCUCACCUGCUCCUCAACCCCACAUUCUCCUUUGAACGCUUUGACCUCAAAUCAGGUAGGACUACCCGCUGAACUUAAGCAUAUCAAUAGCGGAGGA